UACGAAGGGUGCAAGCGUUACUCGGAAUUACUGGGCGUAAAGCGUGCGUAGGCGGUUUGUUAAGUCCGCUGUGAAAGCCCUGGGCUCAACCUGGGAAUUGCAGUGGAUACUGGCAAGCUAGAGUGCGGUAGAGGAUGGUGGAAUUCCCGGUGUAGCGGUGAAAUGCGUAGAUAUCUGGAGGAACACCGGUGGCGAAGGCGGCAUCCUGGACCGGUAUUGACACUGAGGCGCGAAAGCCAGGGGAGCAAACGGG
rnacentral:rRNA from 1 species